CCGUGCCUCAGAAAGUCAUUAAGGAGUGCACCCGUAUUUACAGACCCGAUUAAAUUAUGCAUAAAUAAACUCUGUACACAUGACAUACUUUCUCCCAGUGCUC